rnacentral:rRNA from 1 species
UGCAGUCGAACGAGGGUAGCAAUACUCUAGUGGCGGACGGGUGAGGAAUACAUAGGAAUUUGCCCUUAAGUGGGGGAUAACCCGGGGAAACCCGGAUUAAUACCGCAUGAACUCGUGAGAGCAAAGCAGGGGACCGCAAGGCCUUGCGCUUUUGGAGAAGCCUAUGUCGGAUUAGCUUGUUGGUGAGGUAAUGGCUCACCAAGGCUGCGAUCCGUAACUGGUCUGAGAGGAUGAUCAGUCACAUCGGAACUGAGACACGGUCCGAACUCCUACGGGAGGCAGCAGUGGGGAAUAUUGGACAAUGGGCGAAAGCCUGAUCCAGCAAUGCCGCGUGUGUGAAGAAGGCCUUCGGGUUGUAAAGCACUUUAGGCUGGAAAGAAAAAACUUGGAUUAAUACUUCAAGUCUUGACGGUACCAGCAGAAUAAGCACCGGCUAACUCUGUGCCAGCAGCCGCGGUAAUACAGAGGGUGCAAGCGUUAAUCGGAUUUACUGGGCGUAAAGCGUGCGUAGGUGGCUGUUUAAGUCGGAUGUGAAAGCCCUGGGCUUAACCUGGGAACUGCAUUCGAUACUGGAUAGCUAGAGAUCGGUAGAGGGCAGCGGAAUUCCGGGUGUAGCGGUGAAAUGCGUAGAUAUCCGGAGGAACACCGAUGGCGAAGGCAACUGCCUGGGCCUGAUCUGACACUGAGGCACGAAAGCGUGGGUAGCAAACAGGAUUAGAUACCCUGGUAGUCCACGCUGUAAACGAUGAGAACUUGACGUCUGCUUGCUAUGCGAGUAGGUGUCG